CCUACGGGAGGCAGCAGUGGGGAAUAUUGCACAAUGGGCGCAAGCCUGAUGCAGCGACGCCGCGUGAGGGAUGAAGGCCUUCGGGUUGUAAACCUCUUUCAGCAGGGAAGAAGCUCUUGAGUGACGGUACCUGCAGAAGAAGCGCCGGCUAACUACGUGCCAGCAGCCGCGGUAAUACGUAGGGCGCGAGCGUUGUCCGGUGAUUAUUGGGCGUAAAGAGCUCGUAGGCGGUUUGUCGCGUCGGCUGUGAAAGCCCGGGGCUUAACUCCGGGUCUGCAGUCGAUACGGGCAGGCUAGAGUUCGGUAGGGGAGAUCGGAAUUCCUGGUGUAGCGGUGAAAUGCGCAGAUAUCAGGAGGAACACCGGUGGCGAAGGCGGAUCUCUGGGCCGAUACUGACGCUGAGGAGCGAAAGCGUGGGGAGCGAACAGGAUUUUUAUACCCCGGUAGUCCACGCCGUAUACGGAGGGCACUAGGUGUGGGCGUAUUCCACGUACGUACGUGCCGUAGCUUACGAAUUAAGUGACCCGCCUGGGGAGUACGGACGAAAGGCUAAUACUCUAAAGGAAUUGUCGG
rnacentral:rRNA from 1 species